UUUUGGUAACUUUGUGUUAAACUGCUGUUCACAUGGAACCCUUCUCCACUUCGGCCUUCAAGGGUCUCGCUUGAAUAUUUGCUACUACCACCAAGAUC